rnacentral:rRNA from 1 species
AUACGUAGGGUGCGAGCGUUGUCCGGAAUUACUGGGCGUAAAGAGCUCGUAGGUGGUUUGUCGCGUCGUCUGUGAAAUUCCGGGGCUUAACUCCGGGCGUGCAGGCGAUACGGGCAUAACUUGAGUACUGUAGGGGAGACUGGAAUUCCUGGUGUAGCGGUGAAAUGCGCAGAUAUCAGGAGGAACACCGGUGGCGAAGGCGGGUCUCUGGGCAGUAACUGACGCUGAGGAGCGAAAGCAUGGGUAGCGAACAGGAUUAGAUACCCUGGUAGUCCAUGCCGUAAACGGUGGGCGCUAGGUGUAGGGGCCUUCCACGACUUCUGUGCCGUAGCUAACGCAUUAAGCGCCCCGCCUGGGGAGUACGGCCGCAAGGCUAAAACUCAAAUGAAUUGACGGGG